AGGAAGAAUAAGUUUGUUAAAAGGCAGAACAGAGAGGGAAGAUAAGAGACAUACUGUGCUGGGUUGUUUUUUGUUAGCUCAAUACAAGAGGGAACCUCAACUGAGAAAAUGCCUUCAUCAGAUUGGCCUGUAGGUACUUCUGCUGUGAAAGGAUUCGGGAGAUUUUGCAUUCUGCCACGUUCUGCUGUGAAAACACAUUGUCAAGGCAGCACUGGCUUAAAAACAAUCCAGCAAUAAAAUCGUGCCAGGUUUUGAAGGUGGUGGCUCCUCUUUAGGCCACAUGACACCAUGACAGGAUCUGAAAAGUGACUGAGUGUUUUAGGAGUUAAUCCAGCACAGAUUCUGAAGCAGGAGCCAUCCCAUCACUAAUAGCUACUUGGCAGAUGAUCCUUCCUUCUGGCUCUUCAAAAUUGGAUGUAGUAAUUGCUCUGGAAUUUAAAACUCAUCUGGGGAAUUCCUUGUUUUACAUUUAGGGCACAAACUGCCAAUGGCUCAGGCAUGCCGUAUGUGUGAGUGUGUGCCCAUGUAUGCGCCCAGCUUGGUGGCAGUGGCCUGAGAAUCACGGUAUGUAUAAACAUAGCAUCGCCUCACUG